AGCCUGAACGCUGGCGGCGUGGCUAAGACAUGCAAGUCGCACGGAACCCGCAAGGGUUUAGUGGCGAACGGGUGAGUAAUGAAUCGCUAAUGUGCCCCGGACUCUGGGAUAGCUACCCGAAAGGGUAGGUAAUACCAGAUGAUAUAACUUUCUCGCAUGAGAGAGUUCUCAAAGGUCCGCCGGUCUGGGAGCAGGCGAUUUCGUAUCAGCUAGUUGGUGAGGUAAUGGCUCACCAAGGCGACGACGCGUAGCCGGACUGAGAGGUUGGCCGGCCACAUUGGGACUGAGACACUGCCCAGACUCCGUACGGGGGGCUGCAGUAACGAAUCUCCGCAAUGCACGAAAGUGUGACGGAGCGACGCCGCGUGUAGGACGAACGGCCCUUCGGGGUAGUAAACUACGUGUACGAAGGGAAAGAAAGUUCUAGAUCUACCCCGAGAACGGAAGGGACGGCUAACUCGUGUCG
rnacentral:rRNA from 1 species